UGUCUGAUCACACUUUCUGUGGAGAAAUUACUCCUGAUGUCCAACCUUAACCUCCUCUGGUGCAGCUGGAGGCCAUUUUCUCUUGUCCUGUUGCUAUUGUCUGGGAGAAGAGGCCGAUCCUCACCUGCCUACAAGCUCCUGUCAGACCACCAGGGAACUUCUUUAGUUGUGACAUUGUAAUGGGAGGUGGAGACACCUCAAGGAGAAGGUCGAGACCAACAACAGCAAUUACAGUCAAUAGCAUCCUGACUUGCCUCGAUUACAGGUAUUUCAUUUGUUUCUCGCUGAGCUCCUCCAACCACAUGGGCUAGGUUGCCCAAGAGCAGAGGCGGAGUGCACAGACCUGCUCGAGAAGCAGCAUGUGAAUGAACUUGUGUGGCAGCGGAACUCGAAUGGAGCCCGGCACGAGUCUGUCAGCCUGAAUGAACAAGAAACUGCACGGUGCCUUGGGGACCAGCCUACCCUCUUCCCAGCGAGCCGCGGGGAAAGGAGAGCGGCUGGGCUGUGCAUACCUGGUGCUGCGGGGCUCUACGGGGCUCCGCGGUGCCCGGCAGCAGCACUCCCCCGGAUCCUGCAGCCUGGGCACUGCCGUGCGGGGCAGCAAGCGGCGAGGCCGGGAAGCCCCUGACCCCUGCAGGGUCCCCGUGGGCUGCCAGGAGGCACAGAGGUACCAGGGCUCCGGGAAGGCGCCUCGACUCCCCGCUGCCCGGUCGGGGUCCCGGGGUGAGCAGGGCAGUCCUGGUCCCGACCUGGAAGCGCCCUCGGCGGCGGCGAAACACCGGGAGGAACAGGGCCGGGGUCUCCGGGGUCCGCCGCAGCGAGCCUGAGCGCAGCGGGCCGGGCCUGGCUCCGCCGCCCUUUGUCCACCGCCCCGGGGCAGGUGCGGGCGGCGCGGCCGGGGACAAAGCGGCUGCGAGCUCCCGGGCUGCUCCCAUCGCCAACGCGCCCGGGGUCGGGCGCUCUCCCCCAGCGCGGUGCGGGCGCGG